UUAUGUUCUUACUCCUCAUUGAAUCCACUAUGUCUUGGAGAUUUUCCUCCUUUUUUUAAAUUCUUAGUUCUCUUUCUUCCUCUCUCUGGAGCCAUUCAGCCUGUCUAUCUUCAAUUAUGUUAAUUUGCUCUUCUAUGGUGUCUACACGGGCAUUCAGGGAAUCCAUAUUCUGUUUUAUCUGGUCCAUUGUGUUUUUCAUCUCUAGUAAUUCUGUUUGAUUCUUCUUUAUGAUUUCAAUCUCUUUUGUGAAGUAACUCCAGAACUUGGCUUGUUUCUCUAUCUUUCUCUCUACCUCAUUGAGUUUUUUGAUUAUAGCUGCUCUGAACUCAUUAUCACUUAGUUUACCUAAUUCCAAGUCCUCAGGACUUAAUUCUAUGUUUUUAUUCUUUUCCUUCUGGUCUGGGGCUUUUAUAAAUUGCUGGAUGGUAGAGGAGUGGUUUUUUCACAUGGUGGUAGAAUUCGGUUGCAGUUACAGCCUGUGGCCACUAGAUGGGUGUCUAGAGCCACGUGUUAUGAGCUCUCCGCCUUUGGGCAAGAUGGCUGCGCCCAGUGGCUUUGCCUGGGAGGGAGGGGCUGCUAUUCUCACGUGCCGAUCUGGAUUCAGAUCAGUUCUGUUCUCUGGUCUCCCGUGGCCCUGGGUUUAUGGGGUCCCCGCUGACAAAAGCUUUCCCCCCAUCAGCAAGUUUCCAGUGAACCAGCAGCAGGAGUCCUGGAUGAUCCCUGGUCACGCAGCCCCUCCCCGGCUCCUUCCCAACCCGCGCAGCAGCGAUCGCAGACUCUAGGGGAGGGAGUGAUGUUCUCUCCUACUGUUCCAGCGCCUCCAGGGCCGACUCAGUGGCCAUUGAGGAUUUGCUUGUGAACUUCACCCUGGAGGAGUGGGCUUUCCUCGAUUCUCCACAGAAGAAACUUCAUGGAGGAAAAAAUGGGAAGAUCAUGAUGUUGAAGAUCGGUACAGAAAUCAGGGUAGAAACCUAAGAAGUCACAUGGUAGUGAGACUCUGUGAAAGUAAAGAGGAAGUUCAAUGUGCAGAAAACUUCAGCUUUAUUCCAAGUCUCAGUUUGAACAGCAAAACUACUGGAGUGAAGCCACAUGAAUGAAGCAGUGCAUGUGCAAAAGUCUUUACACAUCAUUCAUCCCUUUAUAGGCACAUCAGGUGUCACACUGGACACAAGCCAUGUGAGUUUCAAAAAUAUCGAGAGAAGACACAUUAAGUGUAAGGUAUGUGGAAAUGCCUUCAGUGAACUCUAAUUUUUUGAGAAACAUGAAAGAAAUCAUAAUAGACAAAAAACCUACAAACAAAGAAUGUGGCUCAAAACGCUUCAAAGACAGAUGAUAACACACAUAUUAUCAUGUGCUCCUUAAACAGCUAUGGACUCUGGGAAAGGCUUCACUUGUUCCAGUUCCCUUCAAAUACAUGGAAGAGCCCACUCUGCAGAGAAACUCUAUCAAUGGAAACGUGGAAAAGUCAUCAGAUACUAUUUUAAAAAGCAUGAAAGAACUCAUACAGGAGAGAAAUUUUAUGAAUUGUAAAAAGUGCUACAAAGCCUUCAGUAUUCCCAGUUCUCUCUGAAACCUUGAAAGAACUCCUACUGGGGAGAAACCCCAUGAAUGUAAAGAAUGUGGGAGAGCCUUUUGUCAUCCAUCAGGUAUUUGAUCAUACAUGAAAACGCAUACUGGAAAUACACCUUAUAAACGUAAAGAAUAUGGAAAGCUUUCAUUUAUCCCAGUUUACUUGAAAUACAUGAAAGAAUUCAGACUGGAAGCCCUAUGAGUGUAAAAUAUGUGGGAAAGCCUUCAUUUGUUCCAGUUAUUUUCAAGUACGUGAAAGAAGUAAUACUGGAGAGAAACCUUGUGAAUGUGAGGCAUGAGGGAAAUCCUUCAUUUGUCACACAUACUUUUGAAGACACGUGAGUGUGCACACUGGAAGAAAACCAUAUAAAUGUGAAGAAAUGUGGGAAAACCUUCUGUCAUCUGAGUUCUUUCUGAAGGCAUGAAAGGACUCACUGGAUAAAACCUCUUGAAUGUAAACAAUGUAGGAAAGACUUCUAUUGGCCCACAUACUGAACUAUGAAAAAUCCUACCUAUGAGAAAUAUCAAUGUUAGUGAUUGGGAAAGCUUGGUGGGAAUAAAUGCAUGAAUAAUAUUCUGGCAAAAUUUUCAACAUGAAAGAGUUGUUAUGAAAGUUGUAAAUAUAUUGGUUUAUGAAGCUUCUUUCUUAAAGUACAUCUUUGGACUAUGGAUUUCUACAAGUUACAUUCAGAAAUGAAUAUUGAGGUGAGAAAAUUCUUCAAGUCAUCUUUCAACAAUGGAAGAUAAGAUUAAUGGGUAGUGAUUUUUCCUUAAAUCAAUCAUAUUUUCUCUGUCCAUUUUUAAGCCUGUUGGAUUCAUGGGUGAAUUGAAAUGGAUUUCUAAUGUGCAGUUAGAUUUAAUAUUUUUACAGUGUUUCAUUUGUUCUGUGUUAAGGGGCUACUGAAAAAUGACAAUUCGGUAUAUGUUAGGAUUUUCCUACUGGCCAUGUGAGAAUUCCUGGAUAUCCCUACUCCAUUGUGUAUCUUCUGCCUUUUCUUACUGAGAAACUCCUUGUUUGGGGUCAUAGAUCUUUUUUCCAUUUUCCAUGGCAUUAAACAGUUGAAAUACAUUUUUCUCUAUGGUGUGUUUAUCAAAGAGUAUCAUUUCAUGUGACUUGUUAUUUUCAUAUUUGGCCCUUUCCUCACUGUCCUUCCUUCUGACUGAAACUUGGUGACUAGGCCUUGAAUUAAGAAGAGAGCCAUGAGAUAGGACAAAAAAAUAAGGAGUUGGAGAUGUCCUCCCUGUGAGCAAUAUUUGAAACUAGAUUCUCCAUUAUCCAUCCCUUUUAUGGUUUCAUAUUGGAAUUCACCAAUAGCCUCACUUGCAUGACCUUUUGAAGUCAUAAGCAAAGAAGGGAUUAGGUUUUGGGACCACCAUAGAGGGAGAAGACAAAUACAUAGGAUCUUGGAGGAAAUCAUGUUCCACCUAUUUUACAAAUUCCUUGCUCUUCCAGUCAAGACUAUCUUCAAAACAACCACCAAGUCUGAUUUCCAUUUUCUUAGAGGUGUAGGUUUCCAACGAUGUCUUAUAAGUUCUACAUCAAAGAUACAUGAGACUCGGAUUUUUCAGUUAGCCUUCUUGUGUUCACCAGGAAAGCAAUUCAGACUUUCAUGAUUGGGCGUAUUCUGAUUCCCCUCUUCUCUAGAUUAUAUCUGUAUAAGGCUUAAUUUGUACACGAAACACCUUAUGCUGUUAAUAGUGCUGGUGACUAUAUUUUCCUUAUUCCCGAUGACAGCCACAAUAGUGCUAUCAAAAAAAAAAACAACAUUGGACUUUGUUUCUCUUCUGCAUUGUGCCUCGACCUAAUCCUUCCAUGUAAGAAUAAUCUCCUUCCUCACGUCAGGAAGACUGUGUUUCCUGUUACUUGUAGCUGAAUGUAAUGCCUCAAUAUGUUUUCAAUUAUUUUUGAUUAUAUGUGAUUAAAAGUAUGUUCAUUUUUUUGUGAAACAAACAUUUCUGUAGUUCUUUCAUAGAAAUAUUUUAUCAACUGUUUUAUAAGCCCUCCUGCUAACGAUUUUUUUUAGUUUCUUCAGAGAAUACAGUAAAAUAUCUCAUUCUAAUUGUAGAUUUUCAGAUAAACUGCAGUUUCA
rnacentral:lncRNA from 1 species